rnacentral:rRNA from 1 species
CCUACGGGAGGCUGCAGUGGGGAAUAUUGGACAAUGGGGGGAACCCUGAUCCAGCCAUGCCGCGUGUAUGAAGAAGGCCCUCGGGUUGUAAAGCACUUUCAGUGAGGAAGAACGCCUGGUGGUUAAUACCCAUCAGGAAAGACAUCACUCACAGAAGAAGCACCGGCUAACUCCGUGCCAGCAGCCGCGGUAAUACGGAGGGUGCGAGCGUUAAUCGGAAUUACUGGGCGUAAAGCGCGCGUAGGUGGCUUGAUAAGCCGGUUGUGAAAGCCCCGGGCUCAACCUGGGAACGGCAUCCGGAACUGUCAAGCUAGAGUGCAGGAGAGGAAGGUAGAAUUCCCGGUGUAGCGGUGAAAUGCGUAGAGAUCGGGAGGAAUACCAGUGGCGAAGGCGGCCUUCUGGACUGACACUGACACUGAGGUGCGAAAGCGUGGGUAGCAAACAGGAUUAGAUACCCCAGUAGUC